rnacentral:rRNA from 1 species
GUCUUUUUGAAYAYMAUUUAAAGUCUCGCCUGCCCMCUGAAUAUUAAAUGGCCGCGGUAUUUUGACCGUGCAAAGGUAGCAUAAUCRUUAGUUUUUUAAUUGAAAGCUGGAAUGAAUGGUUGGAUGAGAAAAAUUCUGUCUCAAAUUAAAUUUUUUAAAAUUUUAUUUUURAGUUAAAAAGCUUAAAUAAAUUUAAAAGACGAGAAGACCCUAUAGAGUUUUAUAAAUUUAUUAAUAAGAAUAAUAAAGAAUUAAUUUUUUUUUAUUAUUAAAUUUAUUUGAUUGGGGUGAUUGAAAAAUUAAAAAAACUUUUUUUAUAUAUUUACAUAAAUUAAUGAGUAAAUGAUCCAUUAAUAGUGAUUAUAAGAAUAAAUUACCUUAGGGAUAACAGCGUAAUUUUUUCAAAGAGUUCUAAUCGACGAAAAAGAUUGCGACCUCGAUGUUGGAUUAAAAUUUAUAUUUGGUGGAGAAGCUAAAUUAUUAGGUCUGUUCVMCCUUDAAAAUUUUACA